CUUUCACCUUAUUCCCUUCCAGCGGUCACUGCAUGUGUAAAGCUUGCAUUUCAGCAUGAUUUCUGGACAUUAUUUGUGCAUAUUAUAAUUGCACCCGCAUUUAUUCAGGAAGAUAAGUUUCAGAGUGUGGGGUCCUCUCAUUUGGCUUGUGGGAUCUCAUGGGCAGUGUGCUGGCUCUGUCAACCCGCCCCGGGCGUCAAAACUCCCCUUUUCCACAAGAUAGACCCUUAUCACGAUGGGAUAGGAGAGAUGGAAGGCUGCCUAACCCAGGAAGCUUUGAUGGUCUGCACCGCAAUUGUAAAGAUGUAUUUCCACAUCAGAUUGAAGGUGUAAAACUUGUGAUAAAUAAGACCCUCAGCAGUUUUUUCAAGGUCAGUCACACAUUCCACCUCAGUGCUGUUGCUCCAUCCAGUUAUCGCUUUCAUGCUGAGCAUCUACAAUCAGACACUGACAGCAAAGAAACGGACUCACCUAUGCUUAUUGGGGAAAUGGACUCCUCUGGCAGCUUAAAUGCACACUCUUUGUUCCAUCUCAGUGAGAAAAUAAGAGCUAAAGCCGUAUUUCAGACUCAACAGGCACAGUUUGUCACGUGGCAGUUUGAGACCGAAUACAGAGGUAGUGACUUUACAGCUGCGGUUACUAUGGCCAACCCUGACAUUCUGAGGGAAUCAGUUAUCAUGGUUGCACACUUUCUUCAAAGUGUUUCCCCACAGCUGGUACUGGGGGGUGAGCUCGUGUACCAUCGAGGUAGAGCAGAAGAAGGUGGCAUACUCACCCUGGCGGGCCAGUACUCAGGGGCAAACUGGAUUGCAACACUGAAUGCAGGUAAAGGAGGUGCACAUGCCAGCUACUACCACAGGGCCAACAAACAGAUUCAGGUGGGAGUGGAGUUUGAGGCGAGUACUAGGACGCAAGAGACAACCUUUUCCUUUGGUUACCAGAUGGAACUUCCUGAAGCUAAAAUGGUUUUCAGAGGAAUGUUGGACAGCCGCUGUAUUAUUGGUGGGGUUCUGGAGAAGCGGCUUUACCCUCUUCCUGCCACAUUGAUCAUGGGUGCCUUUGUCAACCACAGAGCGGACAAGCUGCAAGUCGGUCUUGGGGUCAAUGUUGGUUAAAUACAAGGACAAAAAAUUACUAGAAGAACUUCUUAAGACUUUGGGGACUUCAGAAAACCACCUUCUCUUGUCCAAAGGCACUGGUCCAGCACAGACCCUGGACAGAACAGACAUUUUGUUUAAAGCUCUGUUCGCCAUAAUGAAAAAUAAUGCAGUCCUUUGCAAGCACUGAUGAUGGCUGAAAGUCCUAGAACACCAAGACCUCUAUGGUGGUCCCAUCCUUUAUCAAGGGUUUUGCUAUUUUUGGUCUUAUGUGACCCCUAAGUAACCUGAGGUAAACUACUGAGGUAUAUUCAUUGAUUAUCUUAUUUAUAAGAACAACGUAUAAGACCAAGAUCUAACUUAUAAGAACAAGAUGGCAACCUCUGUAACAGUUAUUGUAACUCUAUAACACUCCGGAUACCCAACAAAUGAAUUUACAAUGUUU
ensembl:processed_transcript si:dkey-71l1.1 si:dkey-71l1.1